CUCAAUCCUCUGAUCAAACCUUUUGUUGUACAGAUAACACAAAGCGGGCAGAACUGAAGAGUCGAGCCCAUAGAAGACAAUUUGCAAUGGCGUCCAGAGCGGUGGCAUCAAGAGCGAGCCGAAUCAAGACGAGGCUAUUGUCUACGCUGGAAGCGAGCCUAGUUGAAGUGGAAGACGUCUCCUACCAGCAUGCAGGCCACGCGGCCGUGAAGGAGAGCGGCUCUAAUGGCGAGACCCACUUCAACGUGAAGAUCGUCUCCGGCAAGUUCGAUGGCCAGAACCUUGUGAAACGACACCGUAUGGUCUACGAUCUGCUCUCUGAUGAGCUCCAAUCUGGACUCCACGCUCUCUCUAUCGUCGCUAAAACCCCCAAAGAAGCUGGCCUUAACUGAAAUUGUUGGGUAUUAUUCGAUUUUGGGUGCUUCUGCUUAAACGAAAUGGAAGAGUUUAGUUGUUCAAGUUCAUUUGCACUGUAAGGUAUGCAGUUCUUUGUGGCAUGUUCUAAUUAUUCCUAGUUUUAAAUGUUCUUUUCUUCAUAUCAUCUAACUUGUUCUCAGGAUAUUGAACUCUCCAUGGAAAUUGUGGUUAUUUAUCGUUAGAUGCAGCUAGAAGUGCAAAAAUGCUCUAAUUUGAUGUUAUUUUCCAUACCGUAUGUCCCUAAAGAGGAAAAUGUAGUUGAUA